CCGCCGCCGCCGCUCGCGGGCAGCGCUCACCUCAGCUCGGACUUGGUCUUCUGCUUCCAGAGCGACGUGAGGUUCGUGUACGCGGACAUCGGUUCAGAAGCUAGGGUGGGAUGGGGAAUUCAAGAGGAACUUCGUCAACCAGAGUAUGAUUAAAAUGUGGGAGAUGCAAUCACGAGCAGUUGAAGGGGAGAGUUCAAGGAGGGAGGAGAUCUGCGCACACAUUUUACUGGAAUAAGACCAGAUCCCGGGCUUCAGGUCAGGCGAUGCAGAGGUCUAUUAAGAAGUCCAGAUACGACCUUGGUAAGGCCAUCAAAAAGACCAAAAGGGACGUCUGCUCUAAGCUGGAGGAUGAGACGGAUGUUCGGCAACUGUGGCAGGGCUUGAAUGCCAUCACCUCUUACAAGGCGAAAUCAGGAGGCGGCUCAAACGACAGCGAAGCAUCACUCCCUGACUAGCUCAAUGCCUUCUAUGCACGUUUCGAUAGGGAGAACACUGAUGUGCCUUCCCAAACCCCUAUUCGCCCUGACGGUGUUAGUCAGAGGACGACGUCAGAAGAUCCUUCAGGGAGUUGAACCCUCGAAAAGCUCCUGGACCUGAUGGUAUACCCCGUCAAGUUCUCAAGACCUGUGCAAACCAACUGGUGGGAGUUUUUGCAGAUAUUUUCAACCUCUCACUUCUGAGGACUGAGGUUUCCACCUGCUUUAAGAGGGCAUCAAUAAUACCGGUGCCCAAGAAGAGUAAGGUGACGUGCCUCAAUGACUAUCGACCAGUGGCACUAACAUCUGUGGUGAUGAAGUGCUUUGAGAGGUUGGUUAUGGUGCACAUAAACUCCCACCUCAACAAGAACCUCAACCAACUUCAGUUCGCAUACUGCCACACCAGGUCAACGGAGGAUGCAAUUUCACUGGCUCUCCACUCCGCAUUGGACCACUUGGACAAUAAAAACACCUACAUCAGGUUGUUGUUUAUAGACUACAGCUCGGCAUUUAAUACCAUCAUCCCUUCCAAGAUGGUUACCAAGCUCACAGAACUGGGCCUCUGCGCAUUCCUCUGUAAUUGGAUCCUCGACUUCCUCAUCCACAAACAGAUGUUCGAAUUGGAGGAACCACUUCAUCCUCAGUAACAAUUAGUACGGGAGCAUCUCAAUGCUGCGUGCUCAGCCCCCUGCUUUACUCACUCUAUAUC